CAGAAUGUAGUAUACACAAAACACUUCACUUACAUUGAAAAAACAUCUACAACCAGAUCAUUCUGA
rnacentral:tRNA from 1 species